AGUGAACGCUGGCGGUAGGCCUAACACAUGCAAGUCGAACGGCAGCACAGUAAGAGCUUGCUCUUUCGGGUGGCGAGUGGCGGACGGGUGAGGAAUACAUCGGCAUCUACUUUUUCGUGGGGGAUAACGUAGGGAAACUUACGCUAAUACCGCAUACGACCUACGGGUGAAAGCAGGGGAUCUUCGGACCUUGCGCGAUUGAAUGAGCCGAUGUCGGAUUAGCUAGUUGGCGGGGUAAAGGCCCACCAAGGCGACGAUCCGUAGCUGGUCUGAGAGGAUGAUCAGCCACACUGGAACUGAGACACGGUCCAGACUCCUACGGGAGGCAGCAGUGGGGAAUAUUGGACAAUGGGCGCAAGCCUGAUCCAGCCAUACCGCGUGGGUGAAGAAGGCCUUCGGGUUGUAAAGCCCUUUUGUUGGGAAAGAAAAGCAGCAGGUUAAUACCCCGCUGUGCUGACGGUACCCAAAGAAUAAGCACCGGCUAACUUCGUG
rnacentral:rRNA from 1 species